rnacentral:rRNA from 1 species
GGGAAUAUUGGACAAUGGCUGAAAAGCUGAUCCAGCCAUCCCGCGUGAAGGCAGAAGGUCCUAUGGAUUGUAAACUUCUUUUCUCUGGGAAGAAAAGGCGGGUUUCUACCUGCUCUGACGGUACCAGAGGAAUAAGCACCGGCUAACUCCGUGCCAGCAGCCGCGGUAAUACGGAGGGUGCAAGCGUUAUCCGGAUUCACUGGGUUUAAAGGGUGCGUAGGCGGGCUUGUAAGUCAGUGGUGAAAGCCCGGGGCUCAACUCCGGAACUGCCGUUGAUACUGCAAGCCUUGAGUACAGUUGAGGUGGGCGGAAUACAUCAUGUAGAGGCGAAAUUCUUAGAUAUGAUGUAGAACACCGAUUGCGAAGGCAGCUCACUAAAGUGUAACUGACGCUGAGGCACGAAAGCGUGGGGAUCAAA